UACGUAGGGGGCAAGCGUUGUCCGGAAUUAUUGGGCGUAAAGAGCGCGUAGGCGGUCCGAUAAGUCGGCUGUGAAAGUCAGGGGCUCAACCCUUGAAAGCCGGCCGAUACUGUCGGACUAGAGUCCGGAAGAGGCGAGUGGAAUUCCCGGUGUAGCGGUGAAAUGCGCAGAUAUCGGGAGGAACACCAAUGGCGAAGGCAGCUCGCUGGGACGUACUGACGCUGAGGCGCGAAAGCGUGGGGAGCAAACAGG
rnacentral:rRNA from 1 species